UGAAAUUGAGAGCCCCUUUUUUAAUAUAGUAUAGAUAUGAGUAUAUAUAAACGAAGUUCAUAAUCUGCAAAAUUAUACAAUUAUCAAAUUUAUACUUAAAAUUAUUAACAAAACCUAUAUAUAAUAAGUAAUUUUCGUUGAAUUUCGACGGGUAGCGAACUAGUAAGUAAUAAUAAUAGUAUACAUAAGAGGAUGUAAAUUUUUUUAGGCCCCCGAUAAUUAUGGGCCCUGGGCAGUCACCCAUACUCGUCCGCUCUCAGAGACUAUAAUA
rnacentral:lncRNA from 1 species